AAGACUAUAGACCUGCGGAGUACCUGCGGAAGGAUCAUUACCGAGUUAUCCAACUCCCAACCCCUGUGAAUCAUACCUUUAAUUGUUGCUUCGGCGGGACUUCGCGCCCGCCGGGGACCCAAACCUUCUGAAUUUUUUAAUAAGUAUCUUCUGAGUGGUUAAAAAAAAUGAAUCAAAACUUUUAGCAACGGAUCUCU
rnacentral:misc_RNA from 1 species